GGGAGAGAGGAGGAAGGGGUGAGAGGGAGAAACCUGCCGCGGCUCUCCGCCUCUUUGUCUGCUCUGGGACUUGGAACAAAAGGGGAAACUCUGAUGAACUCCUUCUCCAGCUCCCUGGACGCCCGAGUAUCUCUUUCUCGCAACUUUGUCAACGCGACUUUCUCCGCUGUCAGGCUGCGCAAAAGUAUCCUAGCGCCUCGCAGGCUGCAACAAUGGAAACAAUGUCCCUUCAAAGUGCGACGAAGUGGAGGGAGAAGGUGUCAUACCAGCGACUCCAAGAGUCAUGUCACCCACUUAGCAGGAGUACUUCUACUGAAAUGCCUUCGAAUUUCUCUUACUGGAUAUAUACCUACCAGCCGCUAGCAUGAAGAUGCCAGGACCGCUGCAAGUUAGCACUGGACAAAGUAGCAUCAACUUCUUCAUUUAGAGUUUCUUCAGUUAAAUUGCUGGGAUUUUCGACAAGGCUUUCCUUAUGUGGAUUAUUGGAGUGUGAUGCCCGAGAAUUCUCUACUUGUAGAAGCACGCCCACGGGACUGCAGAAGCCUUCACACCCACCCAGCACGCUCAGAUCAUCCAGUAACCAACCCAGGAAGUUCUUGUAAGCAUGCAUUUCUUAGUCAACACUGAAUGCCUUUAGACCGAGGUCAACCUUUUCAGCUGGUACCGUGGUUUACACUGCUGGGUUGAUGGCCUAACACUGGCUUAACACUCAUGUCGGCUGCACUAAUUGAAGUCACAUCCAAGUGGGUCAAUGCACUGAACAUAUCUGAUAUAGAAGGUCCCAGAUCCUGAAUUUUUAUCAAUGGUUUGCUGUAUAAGGCUUGCCUCCCAAAUAGCUGAGGACCCUUAUUUGGGAAGAUACGUUCUGAUGGUUAAGCAACAGCACAGAUGUCGAUGGGAAUGAGUGAUGGCCAUCCAGUGACCAGCUGGAUCUGACUGCCUUACAAGACGCAUGUGUAUGAUUAAGAGAGAGACAUUCGUGACUCCCAGAUGUACCUCCUUCCUGUCCCACAGUGUUCCUGAAGGGAGUGAGUUAUGGGGUAACUUAUAACACAGCAGGCUCUUCCUCAAGAUAGCUCUUGUCAAAACAGGAAGACGAAACUCGGGUUUCCAUGAGGAGACCACAGCUUGGGAUCCUGUCUGGAUGUACAAGCAGAAGCAUCUUCAUACUUUUCCAUUUCUAACCAUCAUGCCUCACCCCACCCUCCCAAGGCGACAUCUGCAGAGAGGUGGAACCAUCUAGGGAGGCCUGCCACUGUUUGCUGAGCUCCGGGUGAGGAUGAAGACACUUUGACAUGGCCAGCUUCAGACUCGGGAUCUGUCGGUGUUAGCAGCCGAAGGAGAAUGAGGAGGAAGAGGAGGAGAAAGAGGAGGAGGAAGUAAGACAGAGGGGGACAAGAGGACCAAGAGGGCACAUGGCUGAGGAGGAGGAGAACAACAACAACAACAACAACAACAACAACAACAAGAAGCUUGGUGGUGAAACUUGGAAGCCCUCUCCAGGAUGCAGCAGGUAGCUGAGGAGAAAACGAAGACUGACCAGCCCAGAGCUCAGAGCUUCCUCCCAUGCUCAGGAUUUACCACCAAUGCCAUUACAUCGGCCUCUUCUUGCCAUCAACCAUUGGCUGCCCUAAGCUCCCCGUGAAUUGAGUUAUUCCCAAUAAUGCUCUACAUUAUGAAGACAUUAUUCGAGUGGCUGUCCACUGUGAUCUGGUUAUUUGGAGCUUUACAUAAAGCAGGCUCCUGUUCUGCUGUCGUGCCCAAAGGUUUUGUGGCGGUUGAGUUUGUUUGGUUCUGCAAGAUCAUCCAGGCACCACAACUCUGAGGUUCUGUUCCUUCCAGGCUGCAUCGAUCUAAUGCUCAGACCUACACUGGAAGCAGAGCAUCUCUGACCUGUCAACCCCUGUUCCUGGUAGUGUCCACUGGUGAUGUUGCUCCUGACCCUGGUGGCUAGAGUUUGACCCAUUUGUCGGCUCAGCCCUCAUUCGCGACUCGGAGGAUGCUUUACACUUGAGCAUUUGUGCUACAACUAGAAUCUCAAGGGCACAAGGUUCAGACCACAGUGAAGAGAAGCACCAAUCUUGCCUCCUUGAUUGUUCACCUUUGCGUUUUGUUGGCUUCACCUUCCUUAUCUGUAAGAAAGAAAGGCGCUUGCUGAGCUUUCCUAGAAAGCACAGUUCUUUGUCCUGGACACUCCUGACAUCUUGCCAAUGUGGAGAAGGCUUAUUUACAUUACCUGUCAUCGUCUCAAGCCUUGUAGACCUGCUGCCAGGCUCCCUGCUGCUUCCACAGUCCCAGCUCGCGCUCACACCUUGACUUGCUUUUCCAAGUCACCAUCUCAGUGAUAUAAGUGAAAAUUUUCAACUCUUGUGUUCCACUAUUGUUUUGCUUUAAAACUCUAAAAGACAUCAUUAAAAUGGUGAUUUCUAGUGUAA
rnacentral:lncRNA from 1 species